rnacentral:rRNA from 1 species
UACGUAGGGUGCGAGCGUUAAUCGGAAUUACUGGGCGUAAAGGGUGCGCAGGCGGUUAUAUAAGACAGAUGUGAAAUCCCCGGGCUCAACCUGGGAAUUGCGAUGGAGACUGCAAGGCUAGAAUCUGGCAGAGGGGGGUAGAAUUCCACGUGUAGCAGUGAAAUGCGUAGAGAUGUGGAGGAACACCGAUGGCGAAGGCAGCCCCCUGGGUCAAGAUUGACGCUCAUGCACGAAAGCGUGGGGAGCAAACAGG